UACCGCGUAGCUCAGUUGGUAGAGCAUUGGGCUAGUAUUCCAAAGGUCGUAGGUUCGAUUCCCACCGUGGUCA